ACAACAGACAAAAAAUUAUUUUUCAACAUGCCUUCAGCCUCUCCCUCCUUUUCCUCUGAAAUCAGCCUUCAAUCACUGGCUCCCAGGCCUUGAAAAGCACUCCAGGCGCAGAACCAGAGAUGCAUCUCACUUGCUUGAUGGCAAAGCUCCCUCACAGGCCCUCGGUGGAAAGAAAUCUUUUCCAGCUUAUCAUCCCAAGGUUGGUGAGUGUUACAGCGAAGGGAAAUGACUCCAGCUGAAUCCUGACAGAUAAAAGAAUCCUGACAGAUGAGAUGGAGAAGGGUAGGGAAAAUAUUGGUGGCAGGUGGAUUCCAGGCAAAGAGUGCUGUGUGAACAAAGCCUCGGAGGCAGGAAACUGAUGGCUGGAACAUGAAAGGUUGGGAGAUGGGAAUUAGGGCAUAGGUUUGGAGAGACAAGCAAGGACAGGCCUGCUGCUGCGUAACUGCGGGGGUAGCCAUCACACUGUAUUCCGUGUGACGGUCCCCCUCUGUGGAGCCCUGGGAAGGGCCAGAUCACAGAGGGCCUUGCAUGCUUUUCUUUGGAGUGUAACACUUUGUUCGGAAAGCCAAGGAGAACAAAUUAAUCAUCUGAAGUGAGAGACAGCAUGAAUUCAGAUUUAUAUUUGAAAAACUUUAUAGGAGCAGUAGUGCAAAAGUUGAAUUUGCUAGAGAAAGACUCUGGGCGGGGUGACCAAUUAUGUGACUAUUGAAAUUGUCAGGAAAGAUUCUACGGAGGCCUGAUCCAAGGCCAGAAUGCUGGGAAUGGGGAGGGGGGAUGGUUAGAAGAUGUGCCGAGAGAGGAUCUCUGGGACUCAGUGAACCAUGGUGUCAUUGGUGGGAAUGGGUAACACCGCAGCGGGUUGAGAGGAAAAGACAAUGAGUUUUGGACCCUUCGGAGCCUAAGGAGGCCAUGGGACCACCAGGCAUAACUGUCCAGGGGGAAGGGGGAUAUGGACUGAAGCUCAGAGAGAUACUGGUGCCCAUUCCAGCGGACAUGGCACAGUGGACUGGCAGAACUGGCAGAGAGAGUGAGAUUAGCCAGGGAGAGGGCGGAGGCUAGACAGGAAGGGACAGCAGCCAAGGACAGAAAAUUGGGAAACACCUACAUUUUAGUGACACAGGGAGCCUGAAGAGUCUGCCAAGAAGACUGAGAAGGUACAGUUGGAGAGGUAGAAAGCAAAAACUCAGAGCGCGUGGUCGCAGCUGCCAAGUUUAAGGAAGGAUGUGAUCAGUGGCGUCAAAUGCUCUUUGGACCAUCCCUGGAGCCCAGGACGUCAGUUUCAGUUCCAGCAGGUUCCACUGAAAAGAGCUCAAGUGCCUUGGCAGAAACAGGAUCUCCUGCCCAAUCUGACAAGAGACCAACCAUCCGUCCAUCCCUCCUAAGCCAGGAGAGCACCCGGCAGAGACACACAUGUGCAUCUACUGUGCAAAGCUGAGCAUGCAACCUUCAAAGAAACCACAAAGGAGCUACUCAUUUUUAAAGGAAAAACACAUGAAUUCCGCGGGCAUAAGGAAGACAUUAAGACAGGGUCGAGGAGGAGAAAUCAUCCCUCCAUUUCCUUUUAGCCUUCACAGAAACGAUCGGCUGAGAAUACAGUCGUUAAAAAAUAAAGAAGGCAAGAGCUGGAAUAUUCUGUUUUCCAUCUCCUACCACCCCAGAAAACACGGGGCACAAAAUGUCUGUGCAGCGUACAUGUGUCUUCUGGCUUAAAAUCCCCGGGAGUAGCUAGGGGUGGUAACAAAUGUGAAAACUCUAGGG